rnacentral:rRNA from 1 species
ACAUGCAGUCGAACGGCAGCACGGGAGCAAUCCUGGUGGCGAGUGGCGAACGGGUGAGUAAUAUAUCGGAACGUGCCCAGUCGUGGGGGAUAACGUAGCGAAAGCUACGCUAAUACCGCAUACGAUCUAUGGAUGAAAGCGGGGGAUCGCAAGACCUCGCGCGAUUGGAGCGGCCGAUAUCAGAUUAGGUAGUUGGUGGGGUAAAAGCUUACCAAGCCUGCGAUCUGUAGCUGGUCUGAGAGGACGACCAGCCACACUGGAACUGAGACACGGUCCAGACUCCUACGGGAGGCAGCAGUGGGGAAUUUUGGACAAUAGGCGCAAGCCUGAUCCAGCAAUGCCGCGUGCAGGAUGAAGGCCUUCGGGUUGUAAACUGCUUUUGUACGGAACGAAACGGUUCUCUCUAAUAAAGGGGGCUAAUGACGGUACCGUAAGAAUAAGCACCGGCUAACUACGUGCCAGCAGCCGCGGUAAUACGUAGGGUGCGAGCGUUAAUCGGAAUUACUGGGCGUAAAGCGUGCGCAGGCGGUUAUGUAAGACAGAUGUGAAAUCCCCGGGCUCAACCUGGGACCUGCAUUUGUGACUGCAUAGCUGGAGUACGGUAGAGGGGGAUGGAAUUCCGCGUGUAGCAGUGAAAUGCGUAGAUAUGCGGAGGAACACCGAUGGCGAAAGCAAUCCCCUGGACCUGU